rnacentral:rRNA from 1 species
GACGAACGCUGGCGGCGUGCUUAACACAUGCAAGUCGAACGGUGAAGGAGAGCUUGCUCUCCGGAUCAGUGGCGAACGGGUGAGUAACACGUGGGCAACCUGCCCCAGACUUCGGGAUAACGCUUCGAAAGAGGUGCUAAUACCGGAUACGAACUCCUUGGGCAUCCUUGGAGUUGGAAAGUUUUUCGGUCUGGGAUGGGCCCGCGGCCUAUCAGCUUGUUGGUGAGGUAACGGCUCACCAAGGCGACGACGGGUAGCCGGCCUGAGAGGGCGACCGGCCACACUGGGACUGAGACACGGCCCAGACUCCUACGGGAGGCAGCAGUGGGGAAUAUUGCGCAAUGGGCGAAAGCCUGACGCAGCAACGCCGCGUGAGGGAUGACGGCCUUCGGGUUGUAAACCUCUUUCAGCAGGGAAGAAGCGAAAGUGACGGUACCUGCAGAAGAAGCACCGGCUAACUACGUGCCAGCAGCCGCCGCAG